UACGGGGGGGGCAAGCGUUGUUCGGAAUUACUGGGCGUAAAGGGCGCGUAGGCGGCCUACUAAGUCGGACGUGAAAUCCCUCGGCUCAACCGAGGAACUGCGUCCGAUACUGGCAGGCUGGAAUCCGGGAGAGGGAUGUGGAAUUCCAGGUGUAGCGGUGAAAUGCGUAGAUAUCUGGAGGAACACCGGUGGCGAAGGCGGCAUCCUGGACCGGUAUUGACGCUGAGGCGCGAAAGCUAGGGGAGCAAACGGGAUUAGAUACCCCGGUAGUCCUAGCCCUAAACGAUGAGUGCUUGGUGUGGCGGGUAUCGAUCCCUGCCGUGCCGAAGCUAACGCAUUAAGCACUCCGCCUGGGGAGUACGGUCGCAAGGCUGAA
rnacentral:rRNA from 1 species